CCGUCAGCCGCAUCAAUUCCGUAGCAGAGUGCUCUAGCAUCUCCUCGCCACAACAACAACUUCAGCGCAGCGGGACGUCGGCGCGGAACAGGAGCCCGCCACGGUUGGACGAGCCGAGGCCGGAUACUUACUCGCACUGCGCACAUCGUCGCCGUGGCACCGUUCCGUGGUAGAAGUGUUCGUCCUAUGUCCGCGGCAACAUUCCACAGUAGAAGUGCUACACCGCAGUGAACGUUCCUGAGAAGGAACUCGCACGCCGCGGUGCUUAUAUGCUGCGACACUGCUCGAGGUGGAGAAGAAAAACUUACUACAUUCUGCGCGACUUCGCUUACUGCUGGUCGCCACUCGUACGGUGGAGCGGUAACCGAUGCACGUACCGGGUACGUACACGUUUCCGGUGAAUGCAUCACGUGACGGUGUGUAAGUCUGCAUGAAUUACAAGUCGAAGUAAGAAGAUAUCGUAAACUACAUCUGCUUUAGGAGGCCGACCUUUACCUGCCGUACACGCCGCUGUAGGGCUCAUGGUGCAGGUAACGAAGUACGCCACCACUCGGUUUGCCGGUAGAAGUGCGGAAUCUGCGUGUGCUCAUACAUAGUCCUCGUACGGAAGAACAAGAACACAUCUGGUGAAGUACUACAAACCGACCUGAUUGCACUGUGGUAGUGGUUCCGUGGUAGCUCAGGCCCGCUCUACUUCCUAUCCGUGAUGGGGCUACGGUUUACCCUAGAGCAAAGGGAACUUCCUCUGCGCUCGUCGUGGCAGUACGGUGCACUUCCUCAGCCACUACAACUGUACCAGGCGCCGAAGCAGGAAGUACCAUGGCCGAGCAGCUCCACCCGCUUCCCACACUGCCCACUAAACUUGCGGCCCUCCGUAGCACCGCUCGUGGUACAGCACCAGGAGCCGCACUACUUUACCUCCAGUCGUCACACUACCGCUCAAGACGCAGCAGCUGAAGAUGCCGUGGUAGAACUACUUCACUUGCUUACCGGGCUGCCGCUUGAGGUCUAGUGGCAGAAGUCGCCGCAGGGAGGUCGCGCUGCUUCGCCUGCUGCCCGAGGUAUCUCGCCACUCCAACUGGAUGCACAGUAGCUGGAGGUUCCGUGGUCGAACUGCUAUAACUGCCACCCGCCGCGGCACCGCACGGGACACAGUAACACAAGGCGCCGUGGCACACUGCUUCACCCGCGCUCCUCACCCCC
rnacentral:rRNA from 1 species